rnacentral:rRNA from 1 species
AUUGAACGCUGGCGGCAUGCCUUACACAUGCAAGUCGAACGGCAGCACGGGAGCAAUCCUGGUGGCGAGUGGCGAACGGGUGAGUAAUAUAUCGGAACGUGCCCGGUCGUGGGGAUAACGUAGCGAAAGCUACGCUAAUACCGCAUACGAUCUACGGAUGAAAGCGGGGGAUCGCAAGACCUCGCGCGAUUGGAGCGGCCGAUAUCAGAUUAGGUAGUUGGUGAGGUAAAGGCUCACCAAGCCGACGAUCUGUAGCUGGUCUGAGAGGACGACCAGCCACACUGGGACUGAGACACGGCCAGACUCCUACGGAGGCAGCAGUGGGGAAUUUUGGACAAUGGGCGCAAG